GAUGACGCGGUCGGCCGUGGCCGCCAUCACCUUGUGUUCCAGCUUCGACAUGAGCCGCCGCAUCGCUCCGCCAGCUAGAGCCGCUGCCCGACGCAACCUGCUAGGCGUACAGUGAUGACAGGUAUGCUAAAACUAGCUUCUACAUGUAUUCACUUGCAGCAGCUAUGACCAGAGAAAUCAUGCUCUUAUUUUGUUUCAGGCUGUUUGCAAUAGUAGAUUCCUGGUUACGAAGUGUGAUUCUUCCAUCAUGGUAUUGUAUAAAUUAUGAAAUCAUAUAUUGGUAAAGCUGAUUAGCGUUAGCACUGGUUAGCCCAUGACCUUGCAUUUGUCUAUU
rnacentral:lncRNA from 1 species